CGGUAUCCAAUCCGGAACUUGCACAGGUGUUGCAUGGCUGUCGUCAGUUCGUACCGUGAGGCGUACCCUUAAGUGGGUCAACGAACAUAACCCCUACUGUCAGUUGUAUCACUCUGACGGAACUGCCUCGGUAACGAGGAGGAAGGAGGGGAUGAAGUCAAGUCAGUAUUGCCCUUACGCUCUGGGCUAGAAGCAUGCUACAAUGGCCGGUACAGCGAGACGCGAAACCGCGAGGUGGAGCUAAUCUUUUAAAACCGGUCUCAGUUCGGAUUGGAGUCUGCAAUUCGACUCCAUGAAGUUGGAAUCGCUAGUAAUCGGCGGUCAGCUAUACGCCGGUGAAUACGUUCUCGGGUCUUGCACACACUGCCCGUCNNGCCAGCAAAGCUGGGGCCAACCGAAGUCUCAUUUAGUAUGGGCUCACGGUGGAAUCAGUGAUGAGGGUAAGUCGA
rnacentral:rRNA from 1 species